CCUCUUUGAAAGCGCUUGGCAAGCACCUAUAUCCAGGGAGCCGGAGCGAUCCGGCUAUGGUGAUAAACGCCAUUCGGAAUAAGCGUUUCGGACCCGGGGGCAGUUCCCGGCGCCUCCACCAACUCUCUAUCCGCCAUUCGUCGGUUGUCGACGGACGUGCGGUGAGCAUGGGGGCGAAUCAGGAUCGACGAGCGUGGUAAAGGGAUGGUUUUUGCCCGGCAUGGUACCGCCGUUACCGGACCGUUUGUACAAGUGCCAACGACAACCGUAUGGCUCUCGCUGCCUAGUCUCUAGGUAAGCGCGGCUGGCAGGGGCCGGGCAACAGAAUCCUGCCAAA
rnacentral:tmRNA from 1 species